GGCUUGAUAGCACAGUGGUUAGUGCGCUUGUUCUAUGUCGCGCUGAGGACCAUUUGUAAGCAGGAGAUCCUCGUUCGAUUCGGGGUCAGGCCA